AGAGGAGUGGCGGACGGGUGAGUAACACGUGGGUAACCUACCCAUCAGAGGGGGAUAACACUUAAAACAGGUGCUAAUACCGCAUCAACAGUUUAUGCCGCAUGGCAUAAGAGUGAAAGGCGCUUUCGGGUGUCGCUGAUGGAUGGACCCGCGGUGCAUUAGCUAGUUGGUGAGGUAACGGCUCACCAAGGCCACGAUGCAUAGCCGACCUGAGAGGGUGAUCGGCCACACUGGGACUGAGACACGGCCCAGACCCCUACGGGAGGCAGCAGUAGGGAAUCUUCGGCAAUGGACGAAAGUCUGACCGAGCAACGCCGCGUGAGUGAAGAAGGUUUUCGGAUCGUAAAACUCUGUUGUUAGAGAAGAACAAGGACGUUAGUAACUGAACGUCCCCUGACGGUAUCUAACCAGAAAGCCACGGCUAACUACGUGCCAGCAGCCGCGGUAAUACGUAGGUGGCAAGCGUUGUCCGGAUUUAUUGGGCGUAAAGCGAGCGCAGGCGGUUUCUUAAGUCUGAUGUGAAAGCCCCCGGCUCAACCGGGGAGGGUCAUUGGAAACUGGGAGACUUGAGUGCAGAAGAGGAGAGUGGAAUUCCAUGUGUAGCGGUGAAAUGCGUAGAUAUAUGGAGGAACACCAGUGGCGAAGGCGGCUCUCUGGUCUGUAACUGACGCUGAGGCUCGAAAGCGUGGGGAGCAAACAGGAUUAGAUACCCUGGUAGUCCACGCCGUAAACGAUGAGUGCUAAGUGUUGGAGGGUUUCCGCCCUUCAGUGCUGCAGCAAACGCAUUAAGCACUCCGCCUGGGGAGUACGAC
rnacentral:rRNA from 1 species